ACUAUGGAAUGCCUAUGAGCCUGCUUAUUUCUUCAAAAUGUAGCUAGCUUCAGAAUGCAAGUAGAUCUACUGGAAGGACUUGGAAAUCAAAAGCAAAUGAACACUUCAUGUCAACAGAUGUUUCUAGAGUUUUGUAACGGAUAAAUCUUAUCCAACCACUUUGUGAAACAAGCUACCUUACCAGGAAGACAGAAAAGGAACAGAAUGCAUUCUAUCUUGAACCCUAAAGUAAACUGCAACGAGAAGUCACCAUUAACCUGGGUCUUGAAGAAUCCAAGUGGUUAAUGAAGCAAGAGAAGAUAUAGGCAGAGGGACAGCAUGUUCCAAGAUGAGGAAGCAAAUUUUGAAUUUCUGUAUUUGGAGGAAAUCUUCACAAGUAUGCAACAUUUUUUUCUUAUGGCAUUUGAAUGACCAUUUCUUUUGUUAUAGUAUAUCUAACUGGCUUCAUAAAGCAAUAAAUUAAAUAUACUCCAAUCCCAUAAACAUGCCGUACACUUACUUGGAAUUCAUCUACUUAAGAAUGAACUUCUCCUUCCAAGAGUUGAAGAAAAGUGUUAAGUGCACUUUCAAGUUCCUUCAGGAGAUUUUGACUAUAAAGUAAUGGAUAAAACUUCUAUCCUAUGAGGCUACAACUUUAUGAAUUGUGCUCAUUGGUGAAAGAACUGGGAUGCUUUCGGAACCCUUCAGUGGAGCCAGAAGGAUAAAUGUCACAUUGCUUCUUGGGACAGCAUUGAAAGCAGCCUCACAGCAAGGACAAAGCCAUAAUGAAGAGGAUGCAGAUAGGCAAGAAAAUCAUCAGAUGGAGGGAGCUAGGAUAGGUCCAGAGAAGAAUGGGAAAAAAAAAAAAAACAUAAGCAUUGUUUAGUCUUACCUCCUUGGGUGUGGGAUUCAACAAGUUUGAGUAAGAGAUACAUCCUUCCACUUUUACACCUGGGAAAGACUUACUGCAAACACAAAUCGAGAAAGCAUUGUUUGCAG